GUUUACUCGAUUCAGCGGCAUUAAUGCUUAGUAAUUUGAUUGAGUAGUUGUUCGUUCUGUUAGGUUUGUUUCCCGUUAUUGGAUAAGACUGCUUUUUCUUACCAAUCCCCUGACGCUGUGUGGGACUGUCCCCGCGCUCCGGGAGGCUCUCGUUUCCCCCGGGACAGGAGCAGCGGUUCCCAGGAGACAUGAGAUGACCUCACUGCGCAGCUCUGCACACAUGGAUCCAUGGAAGCCUUCAACUCAGUUUCCCUUCGGGGACCCAGCAGGCAACAUCUGUCCCCGCAAAGGGAGCGCAGACUGCGUGCUCAGCUGACUGGGAAGCAUUCUCGGUGCAGGUGGGUUCAGCUGGCACGCACCCAGCGUGUGCCUUCAGGCCCUGCGCUGUCAGAUGGGGUGGGCCGAGGGCUGAAAUACUGGCAGCAGAAUGUUCAGCUCUGCCCAGCAGGGAGAAGAGCUGCGAAGGCGAG
rnacentral:lncRNA from 1 species